rnacentral:sRNA from 1 species
AGCAUCCUCACUCGGUCAGUUCCUCGGGCGAGUUACGGGGACGACCUGCGGGAGCACGCGGGCAGUGGCCGGACGCUGAAGCCCAGGAGAGCGAUGGAGACGUAUGCGGAGGCUGGGAAGGAGGGCAAGCCUUCCUGUGCAUCGGUGGAUCUGCAGGGAGACAGCUCCUUACAGGUGGAGAUUUCUGACGCAGUGAGUGAGCGGGACAAGGUGAAAUUCACUGUUCAAACAAAGGUGAGGCAGUGCGGGGCACGAGGAAAGGUCCUGGUGGCUGCCCGCAGGAGGCCUCCCCCAGGGGUGGUAGGCAUGUGCCAACACAGCCUGUGGGCACUCUUCCUCCACCUGGCACUUGCCCUCAGCCCCUCCUGGGAAGUGAGCCUCUUAGCUCUGCCUAAGGCCCCGAGUCCUAAUCAUUCCUGUCCACCAGUCUAAAUGAAAUCAUGCACACCUGAGCUCUAACUUUGUCCUCCCUGGGAUGUGGGAUGAGGGGGGCCCAAAAGUGGGUGCCCAGGAGACUUGCUGAGGCAGGGCUUGGGGCAGAGAGAGGACCUCAGUUGGCCUUCCCGCUUCCAGAGCUGCCUCCCUCACUUCGCCCAGACCGAGUUCUCAGUCGUGCGGCAGCACGAGGAGUUCAUCUGGCUGCAUGAUGCCUAUGUGGAGAACGAGGAGUACGCCGGCCUCAUCGUGAGGAGGGGCUGGGCAGGGGCUGGGAGGGACAGGCAGAGCACUUGGGUGAGGACCAAAGGCUGUGAUGGCCGUCUUGGCAGUGAGAGGCCUCCCAGCUCCGUCCCUCCUUUGAGCAGAUCCCCCCAGCCCCUCCGAGGCCAGACUUUGAGGCUUCGAGGGAAAAGCUACAGAAAUUGGGCGAGGGGGACAGCUCUGUCACUCGGGAAGAGUUUGCCAAGAUGAAGCA